AAGUCGAGGGGGGGGGGGGGGGUUGUUGGUUCGAAGCCUUAGAGAUCCCUGGACCAGUGCCUUGCUUGCGACCAAGUGACAGUCCAGACAACUCAGUGAGUCUUACAGGUGUCUGUUCAAAUACCUCAAAGUAUUAAACCAAAGUAUAAAACCAAAGUAUUCCCCUUGAGCUGGCCUUGACUGCCUCUCUCCGUGGGCCCACGGGUCCAGUUGGAGUGAUUGUGUCUGUUCUCCCUCCUCGCCUGUUCGUCGAAUCAAAGCAAUGUGGUUCAACCCUAACCAAAGUGAUGAGGCGGUGGUUCCAUGUGUUCUGUCUAUGUCUCUCUACCCCACUCUCUCUAGACGGUGGCAAAGCUUUAAAGGCCGAGGUUGCAGAUAUACCUCAUAGCGUGUAGCUUUAGUGCCAUGUUUAGGAUGUAGCGUAUCCUAAUGCGCUACAUAUGAAGUGUGUCGACCGUUACUCACUGACUCCUCCUCCUUCCUUGGGUCAGCGACCUCUGAACCAAAUGAUUGGGGUCAACCUUAUGUCUUGAUUCCGUUUUUCAGAUAGAAUAACAUUUAUUUUGUCAACGUUGGAGAAGAGUGCCGAAACCAAAAUGAAAGAGCUUGUCCUUUUAACUCCACUCUCUCUCUCUGUGUUUGCUUUAUCUCUCUGUGGUCUCUCCGUCGUCGGCUGAGAAGGGGGGUUGAACUGACGGGUUUUUCGGGAUAUUAUUGGAGCAAGGCCAGAUUUGAACUGCCUUUAAUCAGAUCAUUACCAUAUUAUUUGCAUCCUGUCCAGCCAUCAAACGAUUGAACGCCAUGCAUCAUUGAUUUUGAUUAUUGAUUAUAUCAGUGUUCUACUCUCAAACAUUACCGCAGACUGAUUUUAUGCAUGAGUAUAUUUACAAUUAGCUAGCCAUGUAAUGCAUUGUGAUUAAUAUCCUUGUUAUUAUGUAUUAUUACUUUUCAUUUAAUAAUGGGUAUUGUACUAUUAGCUUGCGUUACGUUUUGCAAUACUCUAAAUCACUAGCACAUGCUAACAGGUUGUCAAUCAGCAGACAGGAACAGGAAACAGAGACCUCCAUGGGUCCUGUUGCCUUCCAAAGAAAGACCCUCCCACCAAAACCACAUUCCGACUGGCAGCAUUGUGCAAACAAGGUAGCGUCGGGUGAAUUAUGUGGCUUCAAAAAUGAACAUUCCAAAAGUUAGCCACCACGAAACAGUUAGCAUCAUGAGGCUUUAAGAUGGCUUCAGACAGAACAUGGAUGGAGGGGUCUGAAUGAGUCCCCUGAUGUCUUCACAUCCUCUGUAGUGCCUGACCAUCUCUCCCCUCAGGAGUCACCUCGGUCCGUCUGAAGAUGGCCCAUGGAUCCUGAUUGUAUUCAAUAAUUGAAACAACCCAAAUCAAUAUUUCCCUCCACACCUGUCACCAAACCGAGUCAUUAUUGUGAAGAACCUAGAGAAGAUUAACAGUAUUUUAAGUGUAACCACAAAGUGUUUCGUUUUAAAUCAGUAUUACACUUUAGAAAAUGCCAAAUAUGUAAUCUAAACAAAAAAAUGUUGCAGUUUUAGCGCCAUGUUGACCAAAGAUCACUUUUUUUCUUUUGAUCAGAAUAACUGAUAUUCUGAAACUGUAAACCAAAUGAAUUCAAAUAUAAACCAAAGUAAACUCCAUGCCUGUCCAUAUUGCUUAUUAUCUAGCACACGCCAAAGCAACCUGACCCCACCUUAAUGUCAUCACCAAGCAUUCUUGCUUUUUAUUUUUGAUCCUGUUUCUUUACAAAAUAUUGUUUUUCUGAUAAUUUUUUUAUAUGUAUUUUGUUCCAUAAUUGUUGUAAUUAUACUGAAAUGAUGCAUUUUAUUUUACAGAAAAAGAAACGAUUGAAAACUUGAUCAAAAUUGAAGGAGGGAUUUGGAGUAAAUGUUGUUCCACUCUAUGUAUAAAUGAAAAAAUAAAGUUGUCACAAUGGUCUUAUCCAUGUA